rnacentral:rRNA from 1 species
CAGCCGCCGCGGGAAUACGGAGGGGGCUAGCGUUGUUCGGAAUUACUGGGCGUAAAGCGCACGUAGGCGGCUUGGUAAGUUAGAGGUGAAAGCCUGGAGCUCAACUCCAGAAUUGCCUUUAAGACUGCCGAGCUAGCAGGUGAGAGAGGUAAGUGGAAUUCCGAGUGUAGAGGUGAAAUUCGUAGAUAUUCGGAAGAACACCAGUGGCGAAGGCGGCUUACUGGCUCAUACUGGACGCUGAGGUGCGAAAGCGUGGGGAGCAAACAAGAUUAGAUACCCCUGUAGUCCCUGUCUCUUAUAC